rnacentral:tRNA from 2 species
GGGCCCUUAGCUCAGUUGGUUAGAGCAGUGGACUCAUAAUCCAUUGGUCCGGGGUUCAAGUCCCUGAGGGCCCA